UACGUAGGGGGCUAGCGUUGUCCGGAAUCAUUGGGCGUAAAGCGCGUGUAGGCGGCCCGGUAAGUCCGCUGUGAAAGUCCAGGGCUCAACCCUGGGAUGCCGGUGGAUACUGUCGGGCUCGAGUCCGGAAGAGGCGAGUGGAAUUCCUGGUGUAGCGGUGAAAUGCGCAGAUAUCAGGAGGAACACCCGUGGCGAAAGCGGCUCUCUGGGACGGUACUGACGCUGAGACGCGAAAGCGUGGGGAGCAAACAGG
rnacentral:rRNA from 1 species